GCUUACAGCCACAUCAGCUUGAAAAUGCCCGAUCUCGUCUGAUCUCAAGACGCUAAGCAGGGUUGGGCCUGGUUAGUACUUGGAUGGAAGACCACCUGGGAAUACCAGGUGCUGUAAGCU
rnacentral:rRNA from 1 species